rnacentral:rRNA from 1 species
ACGGGAGGCAGCAGUAGGGAAUAUUGCACAAUGGGGGAAACCCUGAUGCAGCGACGCCGCGUGAGUGAUUGAAGUAUUUCGGUAUGUAAAGCUCUAUCAGCAGGGAAGAUAAUGACGGUACCUGCACAAGAAGCCCCGGCUAACUACGUGCCAGCAGCCGCGGUAAUACGUAGGGGGCAAGCGUUAUCCGGAUUUACUGGGUGUAAAGGGAGUGUAGGUGGUCUGGUAAGUCAGAUGUGAAAGCCCGCGGCGCAACUGCGGGACUGCAUUUGAAACUAUCAGACUAGAGUGCAGGAGAGGAAAGUGGAAUUCCUAGUGUAGCGGUGAAAUGCGUAGAUAUUAGGAAGAACACCAGUGGCGAAGGCGGCUUUCUGGACUGUAACUGACACUGAGGCUCGAAAGCGUGGGGAGCAAACAGGAUUAGAUACCCUGGUA